rnacentral:rRNA from 1 species
UACGAAGGGGGGCUAGCGUUGUUCGGAAUUACUGGGCGUAAAGCGUGCGCAGGCGGCUGCUCAAGUCAGGGGUGAAAGCCCAGAGCUCAACUCUGGAAUUGCCUUUGAGACUGAGUGGCUUGAGUACGGGAGAGGUGAGUGGAAUUCCCAGUGUAGAGGUGAAAAUUCGUAGAUAUUGGGAAGAACACCAGUGGCGAAGGCGGCUCACUGGCCCGAUACUGACGCUGAGGCACGAAAGCGUGGGGAGCAAACAGG